rnacentral:rRNA from 1 species
UGGGGAAUCUUGCACAAUGGGGGAAACCCUGAUGCAGCGACGCCGCGUGAUUUAGAAGGCCUUCGGGUUGUAAAAAUCUUUUCUAUGGGAAGAAAAUGACAGUACCAUAGGAAUAAGGACCGGCUAAUUACGUGCCAGCAGCCGCGGUAAUACGUAAGGUCCGAGCGUUUUCCGGUAUCAUUGGGGGUAAAGGGUACGUAGGCGGGUAAGCAAGUUAGAAGUGAAAUCCUAUAGCUCAACUAUAGUAAGCUUUUAAAACUGCUCAUCUUGAGGUAUGGAAGGGAAAGUGGAAUUCCUAGUGUAGCGGUGAAAUGCGCAGAUAUUAGGAGGAAUACCGGUGGCGAAGGCGACUUUCUGGCCAUAACCUGACGCUGAGGUACGAAAGCGUGGGUAGCAAACAGG